UACGGAGGGAGCUAGCGUUGUUCGGAAUUACUGGGCGUAAAGCGCACGUAGGCGGCUUUGUAAGUUAGAGGUGAAAGCCCCAGGGCUCAACCCUGGAAUUGCCUUUAAGACUGCAUCGCUUGAACAUCGGAGAGGUAAGUGGAAUUCCGAGUGUAGAGGUGAAAUUCGUAGAUAUUCGGAAGAACACCAGUGGCGAAGGCGACUUACUGGACGAUUGUUGACGCUGAGGUGCGAAAGCGUGGGGAGCAAACAGG
rnacentral:rRNA from 1 species